UCCCCUAGUAACGGCGAGUGAACCGGGAAGAGCUCAAAUUUGAAAUCUGGCGUGCUCAGUGCGUCCGAGUUGUAAUCUAUAGAGUCGUUUUCCGUGCCGGACUGUGUCCAAGUCCCUUGGAACAGGGUAUCAAAGAGGGUGAUAAUCCCGUACUUGACACAAUGACCGGUGCUCUGUGAUACGUCUUCUACGAGUCGAGUUGUUUGGGAAUGCAGCUCAAAAUGGGUGGUGAGUUCCAUCUAAAGCUAAAUAUUGGCGAGAGACCGAUAGCGAACAAGUACCGUGAGGGAAAGAUGAAAAGCACUUUGGAAAGAGAGUUAAACAGUACGUGAAAUUGUUAAAAGGGAAACGAUUGAAGUCAGUCGUGACUGAGAGGCUCAGCCGGUUCUGCCGGUGUAUUCCCCUCAGUCGGGUCAACAUCAGUUUUGUUCGGUGGAUAAGGGCAGUUGGAAGGUGGCACCCUCGGGUGUGUUAUAGCCAGCUGUCGCAUACAUCGGAUGAGACUGAGGAAUGCAGCUCGCCUUUAUGGCCGGGGUUCGCCCACGUUCGAGCUUAGGAUGUUGACAUAAUGGCUUUAAACGACCCGUCUUGAAACACGGACCAAGGAGUCUAACAUAUCUGCGAGUGUUUGGGUGUCAAACCCAAGCGCGUAAUG
rnacentral:rRNA from 1 species